rnacentral:rRNA from 1 species
GCGAUCGUAUCAACAGACUAAUGCACGGAUCCCAUCAACUCCGGGUUAAGCGUGCUUGGGCGAGAGCAGUACUAGGAUGGGUGACCCCCUAGGAAGUCCUCGUGUUGCACCU